GGAUGGAAGCACCUGUCAAUUCCCCUUCUCCACCCGCGUUCAGUUACUAAAUACGGAUUCACCCCGUAAUAAGUCAACCGCAGACAGGGUCCUUCCACAACCACAUACUUAUGCCAGUAAAAGCUACAGCUUUUCUCCUCCGAUCCAAGAAGCCUGGACUGCAGUCACCAUCUCAACACACCAACCAAGAGAAAGGCGGAUGGCUCAAUUCAAUAUGGAAAAUUGCACAAUAAAAGUUCCAGGACAUGAAGGCUGCAUACUGUGAGCGUCAACCUUCAGGGCACCGUCCUGCGCAGAAGACUUUCUACCCUAAGAGGGAUGGCUGACCGCAGACACUCACAACCAGCACAGACGCCUCCAACCUCAGACUAGGCCCUUCACAGUUGCUGCACUUACCCACCUUCCCAGAGUUUUUGUGUGGUAAUGACAACUGUAAAUAUAGUAUAAAGUAAUGUAUCUAGUGUCAUGUGUAAUACAUUGUUUAAAUUGUCCAUACAUUUCAAUGACAGUAAAUAUUGGUGGACACAAUUUGACU